rnacentral:rRNA from 1 species
AGCAGCCGCGGUAAUUCCAGCUCCAAUAGCGUAUAUUAAAGUUGUUGCAGUUAAAAAGCUCGUAGUUGAAUUUCGGGAUCAAGGGAUCGGUCAUGCCUUGGUAUGUACUGGUCUUAUUGGUUCUCACCUUCUAAAGAACCAUGAUGUCAUUCAUUUGAUGUUAUGGGGAAUUAGGACUGUUACCUUGAAAAAUUAGAGUGUUUAAAGCAAGCUUACGCUUGAAUACAUUAGCAUGGAAUAAUGAAAUAGGACAUCAGAUUCUAUUUUGUUGGUUUCUAGGAUCGAUGUAAUGAUUAAUAGGGAUAGUUGGGGGCAUUAGUAUUCAAUUGUCAGAGGUGAAAUUCUUGGAUUUAUUGAAGACUAACUACUGCGAAAGCAUUUGCCAAGGAUGUUUUCAUUAAUCAAGAACGAAAGUUAGGGGAUCGAAGACGAUCAGAUACCGUCGUAGUCUUAACCAUAAA